UUCGCCUGUUUUUCAAAAACAUGGUUUUUUGUUGGAAUAAAAAAUCUAAUCUGCCCAAUGAUUAAGAAUUGAAUGGCCGCGGUAUAUUGACCGUGCGAAGGUAGCAUAAUCAUUUGCUUUUUAAUUGGAGGCUGGAAUGAAUGAUUUGACGGAAAAGGUCUGUCUUAAUUUUAAGUUUUUAAGUUUACUUUUUAGUGAGAAGGCUAAAAUGUUAUCAAGGGACGAGAAGACCCUAUUAAGCUUUAUUUUUAUUAUUUUUUUGUUUUAUGUUUUCAUAUACAAAAAAUAGUGAAAAUUUUACUGGGGCGGUAGAGAAAGAGAAAGAUCUUUUUUUAAAAAUUAAAACAUUUAUGUUAAUUUUUGAUCCAUUAUUAAUGAUAAAAAGAAGAAGUUACUAUAGGGAUAACAGCGUAAUUUUUUCGGAGAGUUCAUAUCGGCGAAGAAGUUUGCGACCUCGAUGUUGAAUUAAAGAGUCAGUAAGGCGAAGAAGUUUUAUAUGAGGGUCUUCGACCUUAAUUCC
rnacentral:rRNA from 1 species